UGAGACCUGAUGCCGAGCCGAUUGUGGUGAAGUGGAUGAUCCUAUGCUGUCGAGAAAAGCCUCUAGCGAGUUUCAUGGCGGCCCGUACCCUAAACCGACUCAGGUAGUCAGGUAGAGAAUACCGAGGCGUUCGGGUGAACUAUGGUUAAGGAACUCGGCAAAAUGCCCCCGUAACUUCGGGAGAAGGGGGGCCAUUUCUGGUGAUCAUCUUUACGGUGUGAGCUGGGGGUGGCCGCAGAGACCAGCGAGAAGCGACUGUUUACUAAAAACACAGGUCCGUGCGAAGCCGUAAGGCGAUGUAUACGGACUGACGCCUGCCCGGUGCUGGAACGUUAAGGGGACCGGUUAGUCACAUUUCGGUGUGGCGAAGCUGAGAACUUAAGCGCCAGUAAACGGCGGUGGUAACUAUAACCAUCCUAAGGUAGCGAAAUUCCUUGUCGGGUAAGUUCCGACCUGCACGAAUGGCGUAACGACUUCUCGACUGUCUCAACCAUAGGCCCGGUGAAAUUGCACUACGAGUAAAGAUGCUCGUUUCGCGCAGCAGGACGGAAAGACCCCGGGACCUUUACUACAGUUUGAUAUUGGUGUUCGGUUCGGCUUGUGUAGGAUAGGUGGGAGACUUUGAAGCUUGGACGCCAGUUCAGGUGGAGUCGUCGUUGAAAUACCACUCUGGUCGUGCUGGAUGUCUAACCUGGGUCCGUGAUCCGGAUCAGGGACAGUGUCUGAUGGGUAGUUUAACUGGGGCGGUUGCCUCCUAAAGAGUAACGGAGGCGCCCAAAGGUUCCCUCAGCCUGGUUGGUAAUCAGGUGUUGAGUGUAAGUGCACAAGGGAGCUUGACUGUGAGACCGACGGGUCGAGCAGGGACGAAAGUCGGGACUAGUGAUCCGGCGGUGGCUUGUGGAAGCGCCGUCGCUCAACGGAUAAAAGGUACCCCGGGGAUAACAGGCUGAUCUUCCCCAAGAGUCCAUAUCGACGGGAUGGUUUGGCACCUCGAUGUCGGCUCGUCGCAUCCUGGGGCUGGAGUCGGUCCCAAGGGUUGGGCUGUUCGCCCAUUAAAGCGGUACGCGAGCUGGGUUUAGAACGUCGUGAGACAGUUCGGUCCCUAUCCGCUGCGCGCGCAGGAGUCUUGAGAAGGGCUGUCCCUAGUACGAGAGGACCGGGACGGACGAACCUCUGGUGUGCCAGUUGUCCUGCCAAGGGCAUGGCUGGUUGGCUACGUUCGGGAGGGAUAACCGCUGAAAGCAUCUAAGCGGGAAGCCUGCUUCGAGAUGAGGACUCCCACCCACUUGAUGGGGUAAGGCUCCCAGUAGACGACUGGGUUGAUAGGCCGGAUAUGGAAGCACCGUGAGGUGUGGAGUUGACCGGUACUAAUAGGCCGAGGGCUUGUCCUCAGUUG
rnacentral:rRNA from 1 species